GCUGACCUGAACAAGGGGUUGCUCAUGGACCCCAGACUGAGAACUAGGAGACCAGCAUAGGACUCUUACAGACUCCCUGGAAGAGGACGUCAGUUUGGAGGUCUGGACAAUCCAUUGGGCCACUGGUAGUGGAUCAUUAUUUACACCUACUGCUCAAAUGGACUUUGGGAGCCCACUACACAUAGAGAGCACCGGGAUUACAGAGGCAACCACCGCACCCAUGACUAGCUCCCACCUGUCAUUCCUUGUGGAUAAAUGUCCUGGAGGAUGUAUGAAGAAUGUAUCUUGGGAAGAAACUUGCCAAUGAUGAAUGAAGUUGGUUGGACAGUACAGUAGCUUUUCGGGUGAUGAUAUUCUGAGAUGAGUCCUAAGCUUUCUCCUUUAGUCCACUGGAGCAUGGAGCCCUGACAUUAGCAAUAACAAGCUGCUUUGCACAGCAUAGAUGAGCUCCCAUCCUGUUGGGGGAUAUCAUUUUCAGGUGUGUGGCUUUUGUUUAUGCUGCAUUUGUCUAACUCUGUGAAGUUGUGUUACUGUGUCUGUCUAAAAAACCUGAUAGUCCCAAUAAAGAGCUGAACAACCAAUAGCAAAGCAGAAACAAGGAUAGGCGAGGCUAGCAGGCAGAGAAAAUAGAUAGAAACAGCUGCAAGAGGACAAGGAGAGGAGGACAUCUGUGGUCAGCCACCAGGGAAAAUUUAAGAAAAGCUUGCAAGAAACAAGCCAAGUAAAGGCUGAGUUUUCAUAACUAAGAAUAAGCCUCCACAUGGGAUUUACAUGGGAUUUACAUGGAUGGAGGGCCCCUCAAAAUGGUCACAAGACAAAAAAGUAAAAGAGUAAAACAUCAAGGAUACCUUCCCUUUCCUUGUCUUGUGCACUCAGAGAGACAAGCCUCAAAGGCAGCAGUUGCACUCCCUUAGUUCAUGCUUGAACAUUGAUAAUAGUUGUUGUAAGGGAUGCAUCAGAGAUACCUCCCUCUUUAGCAACAAACCCUCUGUAUAACAUCUUCUCAAAACUAGAAAUCCAUUUUGGAAUAUGGCUUGAUAAACAUCAUCUCUGUUUAGCAGUUUCCUUUAGCAAUAGUCCUUAGCGUAGACCAAGGCUCACACUGUGGUCAAAACCAGUUUCUACAUAUAAAGCAUCUUUAAGUAAAUUUUGUUCUCACUGAACUAAAGGCCACAACUUUAUCACCUAUGUCCUUGUGAAAAAAUAAUUUGAACCCCCCCCCACACACACACAGACACACUUUCACAUUAGAAUAAAAGGGGACAGCUAUGCCUUACUCAAAAAUCCCCCUCUUUGUUGAGGAUAACAGGGAACAUUGACUGGAGGAUGUGAUGAUGAUUUAUCAUCCUCAUUUCCACCACAGCUAUAUGCUUGUCUGCUUCCUCAACCACACUGGCCUCUACAGUAAUAAGGUCUGUAUGAAAGAUAAUGUUGUUGUUGAGGGCCCAGUGCUGCUUGCAAUAUUUGAAUAAUUUUUCAUUUCCACUUUGCAUUUAAUCUUGAUAUCAGCUUUGACCAUUAGUGAACUCAGGAAUAUCACCCCUGGCAAGAAAUGCCCAAAUAAAAGAUUUUAUACUUC